rnacentral:rRNA from 1 species
CCCGUCACAUCACGAAAGUGGAUUGUACUAGAAGUCUGCGCGCUAACCCGCAAGGGAGGCAGCGGCCCAAGGUAUGAUUCAUGAUUGGGUG